CAAAUUUAAGCUUAAUAACAAAAAAAAAAAAAAAAAGAAAAACAAAUCAGCAAAUAGAGAUAUAAGUGUUAUCAGUAAUUACAAAACUGACAAGGCAUCAACAUUAUGUGGAUCAAAUAAAUUAACAAUGUCAUGAUAACUAAAAAAAAAUUCAAAUCAGAGUGAAUAAAGAGUCUCAAAUCAGAUUGACGUCAAAAGUGUCAAUAAGAGUAAAUCAAGAAUCUUAAAUCAGAGGGAAUCAAGUCUCAUAUCAGAAUAAAUCAAUAAUCUCAAAUCCUAGUGAAGAGUUGCAUUCAAGUAAGUGAAUGAACUACCCAUGCCACAAACUAAAUUCUAAUUCAUCUAAAUCCUCCACCAGGUAAAAACUUGCAAAACAUUGUUAACUUCAGUUCAUUUAAAUUUUCAUUUUUUUUUUUGCUUCCAACACAGUACCUUUUUGUCUUGGGACAUUGA